rnacentral:rRNA from 1 species
CAAGCGUUGUUCGGAAUUACUGGGCGUAAAGGGCUCGUAGGCGGCCAACUAAGUCGGACGUGAAAUCCCCAGGCUCAACCUGGGAACUGCGUCUGAUACUGGAUGGCUUGAAUCCGGGAGAGGGAUGCAGAAUUCCAGGUGUAGCGGUGAAAUGCGUAGAUAUCUGGAGGAAUACCGGUGGCGAAGGCGGCAUCCUGGACCGGCAUUGACGCUGAGGAGCGAAAGCCAGGGGAGCAAACGGG